rnacentral:misc_RNA from 1 species
AAGUCAUAACAAGGUUUCUGUAGGUGAACCUGCAGAAGGAUCAUUAGGGAAUUAUAAAAUCGGCUUGCCCCUCUCGAGGGUGCUCGCCGUAAUUUCUAUCCACAAAACACCGUGAACCCUCGAAAGAGGCGUAAUUUUUUCUAUAAAAACACAAAGUCUAUGAAAGUAACAAACAUACAAAACAAAAUAAAACUUUUGACAACGGAUCUCUUGGUUCUCC